rnacentral:rRNA from 1 species
AUUGAACGCUGGCGGAAUGCUUUACACAUGCAAGUCGAACGGCAGCACGGACUUCGGUCUGUUGGCGAGUGGCGAACGGGUGAGGAAUGUAUCGGAACGUGCCCAGUCGUGGGGGAUAACGUAGUGAAAAUUACGCUAAUACCGCAUACGAUCUAUGGAUGAAAGCGGGGGAUCGCAAGACCUCGCUGGAUUGGAGCGGUCGAUAUCAGAUUAGGUAGUUGGUGGGGUAAAGGCCCACCAAGCCAACGAUCUGUAGCUGGUCUGAGAGGACGACCAGCCACACUGGAACUGAGACACGGUCCAGACUCCUACGGGAGGCAGCAGUGGGGAAUUUUGGACAAUGGGCGAAAGCCUGAUCCAGCCAUUCCGCGUGCAGGAUGAAGGCCCUCGGGUUGUAAACUGCUUUUGUACAGAACGAAAAGGUUUCUACUAAUACUAGGAGCUCAUGACGGUACUGUAAGAAUAAGCACCGGCUAACUACGUGCCAGCAGCCGCCGCCG